UGAGCAGGAAAGCAGGGGAUCGCAAGACCUUGCGCUGAUUGAGCGGCCGAUAUCAGAUUAGCUAGUUGGUGAGGUAAAGGCUCACCAAGGCGACGAUCUGUAGCGGGUCUGAGAGGAUGAUCCGCCACACUGGAACUGAGACACGGUCCAGACUCCUACGGGAGGCAGCAGUGGGGAAUUUUGGACAAUGGGGGCAACCCUGAUCCAGCCAUGCUGCGUGAGUGAAGAAGGCCUUCGGGUUGUAAAGCUCUUUCGGCCGGGAAGAAAUCGUAUGGGUUAAUACCCUGUGCGGAUGACGGUACCGGCAUAAGAAGCACCGGCUAACUACGUGUCAGCAGCCGCGGUAAUACGUAGGGUGCGAGCGUUAAUCGGAAUUACUGGGCGUAAAGCGUGCGCAGGCGGUUUUGUAAGACAGGCGUGAAAUCCCCGGGCUCAACCUGGGAACUGCGCUUGUGACUGCAAGGCUAGAGUAUGGCAGAGGGGGGUGGAAUUCCACGUGUAGCAGUGAAAUGCGUAGAGAUGUGGAGGAACACCAAUGGCGAAGGCAGCCCCCUGGGCCAAUACUGACGCUCAUGCACGAAAGCGUGGGUAGCAAACAGGAUUAGAUACCCUGGUAGUCCACGCCCUAAACGACGUCAACUAGGUGUUGGGUGGGUAAAACCAUUUAGUACCGGAGCUAACGCGUGAAGUUGACCGCCUGGGGAGUACGGCCGCAAGGUUAAAACUCAAAGGAAUUGACGGGGACCCGCACAAGCGGUGGAUGAUGUGGAUUAAUUCGAUGCAACGCGAAAAACCUUACCUACCCUUGACAUGUCCAGGAGCCUGAAGAGAUUUGGGUGUGCCCGAAAGGGAACUGGAACACAGGUGCUACAUGGCUGUCGUCAGCUCGUGUCGUGAGAUGUUGGGUUAAGUCCCGCAACGAGCGCAACCCUUGUCGUUAAUUGCCAUCAUUUAGUUGGGCACUUUAACGAGACUGCCGGUGACAAACCGGAGGAAGGUGGGGAUGACGUCAAGUCCUCAUGGCCCUUAUGGGUAGGGCUUCACACGUCAUACAAUGGUCGGUACAAAGGGUUGCCAACCCGCGAGGGGGAGCCAAUCCCAGAAAGCCGAUCGUAGUCCGGAUCGCAGGCUGCAACUCGCCUGCGUGAAGUCGGAAUCGCUAGUAAUCGUGGAUCAGCAUGUCACGGUGAAUACGUUCCCGGGUCUUGUACACACCGCCCGUCACACCAUGGGAGCGGGUUCCGCCAGAAGUAGGUAGCCUAACCGC
rnacentral:rRNA from 1 species